rnacentral:rRNA from 1 species
GACGAACGCUGGCGGCGUGCCUAAUACAUGCAAGUCGAGCGGACUUUCAAGAAGCUUGCUUUUUGAAAGUUAGCGGCGGACGGGUGAGUAACACGUGGGCAACCUGCCUGCAAGACGGGGAUAACCCCGGGAAACCGGGGCUAAUACCGGAUAAUAUCUUCCUUCGCAUGAAGGAAGGUUGAAAGGCGGCGCAAGCUGCCGCUUGCAGAUGGGCCCGCGGCGCAUUAGCUAGUUGGUGAGGUAACGGCUCACCAAGGCGACGAUGCGUAGCCGACCUGAGAGGGUGAUCGGCCACACUGGGACUGAGACACGGCCCAGACUCCUACGGGAGGCAGCAGUAGGGAAUCUUCCGCAAUGGACGAAAGUCUGACGGAGCAACGCCGCGUGAGCGAAGAAGGUCUUCGGAUCGUAAAGCUCUGUUGUCAGGGAAGAACAAGUACCGUUCGAACAGGGCGGUACCUUGACGGUACCUGACCAGAAAGCCACGGCUAACUACGUG